rnacentral:snRNA from 1 species
AUAUGAUGGUGAUCUGGCUGUGCCAUCCUUCUAACCAGCCAGAAUUGAUUUGGCUUACCUGGCAAGCCAGACAGGUGUGACUUUCUCGCAACUGUUUGUGUGUUCUUGCAAAGCUGCCUGCUCAGUGAAUGAGGACAGCUUUUGCCUGAAAGAAAAGGACCAUUCUUCAGUUGUAGCUGUAGGUGUCUGUACUUAACUGCUAGCUUCUCCAAAUAAACCGAAAUAAUAGCUGUGUGGUUUUGUACUAGUCUAUGCUUCAUAUAAAAAGUGUUU